UAUUAAUUUUGGUCAAAAAUUAAUUUUGAGACCAUUGCCAAUUAUUUGUCUGACAGCCCAUGUGACUUUAAACAGAGAAAAUGGAUUUUUCUUUUCCAUUACUUGCCCUUCCCCACCGACAGCUCAAAGACCCCCACGACCUUCCGCCGACGAGCAAUCGACUUCGGCAAGUCCCACAACCUUUCGAUGCACAAACCAAUAAUCCCCUCGCAAUCUUCAGCCGCACUAACCGGUGACAGUAUUUUCAAUUCCUCAGAGGGUCUGAAGCGCACUUUUUUUGAAGAAGAGGUAACGAUGCCUGAAACAAACUGUCAUCGUCCGUCAACUUAGUAAGUCGCCUCCGAGCCCGGAUCUCCGCAGUGCACGUAUGAAUCCCGUCGACACACAGGAGCUAGGUCGAGCCUCGAGGUCAAAAUCUUAUCCUCAGUGGAAUGUAUCAGAGACCUAAACAUGCAUGGCGGCGUGUGAAACCGCCAUUGCUGAGCGCCAUCGCAACGAUCGUUGUUUUAUGAAACACGGCUGAGAAUGAAUCUCGUCACUGUUCAACUCAAUCACUGGCCACAACUGGAACAAGCAGCAACUAUGCAACCACUAGGACACAUGCGUCGAACCUACAGACAUCUCUCCGAGUUGUUAAAUUCCAGCGGGGUUGCGUACAACGAAUCCAUCGAUCGAGUCGUUGCAUCGGAGGAGUGGUGGAAACGAAAGAUUGAGAUAGUGCUGUUAAUAUCUAUUUUCCUUUACUGUUUUUCAUUAACGCAUGUCGACAUCUACGAAAUCGCAUUGUGGAAAUAACUAACGAUGUACUAUUUUCUUGUGCUUAUGAGCAAUAUUGCUUGACUGUUGCGAUUAUUUUUUCUUGCACAUUCCGAUUUUUCAUUUACAUGUCUUCAUUUUUAACCCUUGGUCAUAGGAAAAUAAAGACUACAAGGACAAGGACGUGAAUGAAAUCUACAUUCACUAUCGUCAACUAUUCGGGGACAGUUACGGUGGGCGAAGUACGCAGUCACUUUGACAAAGUUGUGUCGAACGGGGUUCUAGCUAUUCGAGGAUAGCGUGCUGGAAGACCACCGUAAUGCAAUCCCAAUCGACGAUGAGAGUAGUGGUUCAAGUGAUGAUGCAGAGAAAAUUCCCAUCAGCUCCAACGUGAAUGUCUCUAGCACCACAAGCGGCGCAAAAAGGAAGUCCUCCAGUGGCAAGCGACUGGGGAAGAAGAAAAAAAUAUCUACAAGAGAGCUGUCUUUCUCUGUUGAUCGGGCCACUAGUGCCGUGGAGGAAGUGGCGGCAAACAUUAAAACCAUGAUGACCUCAAAUGAGAACAUUGGCACUGCCUAUGUCAAAGAGUUGUUGGCAACAUGACAUCUUCAGCGGCGGACACCGCUCUACUUUUUUACAUGUGUAGUUCUAGCGAGAAGCGGACAUGUUCGCCGUCAUGAAAGACGCAGAUGAGAAAUUUGAGUGGAUUCAAUGGCUGUUCAACGAGCGUAAUAAACAAUUUCACCUUUGAUUAUGUGCGUUAGGAGUACCUGUGUUUUGUGUCCCAAAAACUGUUUAACUUUUGCAUACAUCGGUCUGUUCCCAUUGUAUGUUGUGUAUUUAAAUAUUAUGCAUGCUAUGAUGCCGAAAUUUUUUUUCA